UUUGUUCUUGUCGCGUUCGCACACGAACGCAGCAUUCUGAUUCGCUGUUUGCUGUUGGAUUCUAUGAUUAAAUCAGUGAUUCAUCAUCACAAAGGCUCUCGGUAAGCUUAAAGUUGGAUCUGAUCACUUUCUUCGAUUAAAAAUGGAACAAGAACAGACGGUUUAUUGUUUACUUGAAGGAAGAGAUGCUUUGCCGUUAUGCCAACGGGGAUUUCUUGUCGUGAAGUAUUGGAACUUGGAAUAGCAACAUUACCACUGAGGGCAAACUAUAGUAACCUUUUAAUACUUGAGUUUCAUUAAUUUCAAACAUUUGAUACGUUUAUAUGUUCCUCAAGAAAAUUAUCUUUUGGUUGAGGUUGACUUUGUUUUUGCACUAAAGAAAAACAGCGCUUUUCGUGAUGAAGAUAUAUAGGCAGUUGCAUGUAAGCCUAUUCGAAACACUUUGCGAUUUGCGGGGCUUCUCUGAGAGGGCGAAACAGAAGACGGUAAAUGCCGUUUGAAACGAUCUACACUCUGAACGCUCUUUUCUUUCGUCGAGUUUUUUACUAAAUUAAACAAGACGCCUGCUCAGGCGUUCACACUGGCCUGAAAAUGGCAACUUUCGUGGUAGAGUGUAAUGUGUAGUAGAGAAGUAGAUAGGGACACAGGAGGUCUGGAUCAUAUAAAUACAACCAAUAAAUACAAUCAUGAUCAGCAACUAUCAACCAUAAUAUACCAAGACGCCGGCUCAGACGUACCUUCCGGCUUCGGGCAACUCAACCUGACAAGCCAGUUCCGCUGUAACUAUGAUAAUCAACUAUCAAGCGUAAAUAAUGAUGGGCCAAUAAUAACGAAGAAAUUAUAUAGUCCUUGAUUUUUAAUGCCAUUAUAUGGCUCGUUUCAGGUGCUAAAAAGUUCAUAGACAUAGACGAUUCUUCUAAAAAAUACGCCAAUUUCUUUCCAUUUAUAAUUUUAUAAGAUAAACUGAUCCCAAGCCCUUCUCUAACCUCAAACAGUAAACAUCUAAUAAACAAUUUC